AAAGUUGAACUCUUGAUUGAGGUCUUUGGAGAGGCUCGGGUUAGGGGACUGUGCUCGCGGCCUUGGUGCAUCGGAAAGCUCGGGAUACAGAGUGAACAACGAAGGGCCGGGAACGGCGAAGGGCCGAGAACGGCAGUGGGGCCGGGAAUACC